rnacentral:rRNA from 1 species
AUCUACCAUUUAGUGGGGAAUAACUGUUGGAAACGACAGCUAAUACCGCAUAAUAUUGCUGGAUAAUUUCCAGUAAUGAAAGGAGCUUUCAAGCUCCGCUGAUUGAUGAGGAUGCGGCGCAUUAGCCAGUUGGUAGGGUAAUGGCCUACCAAGGCAAUGAUGCGUAGCCGAUCUGAGAGGAUGAACGGCCACAUUGGGACUGAGACACGGCCCAAACUUCUACGGAAGGCAGCAGUAGGGAAUUUUUCACAAUGGGCGAAAGCCUGAUGGAGCAAUGCCGCGUGACUGAUGAAGGUCUUCGGAUUGUAAAAGUCUGUUGUAAAGGAAGAAAUGGUAAAACAGGAAAUGGUUUUAUCUAUGACGGUACCUUACCAGAAAGCCACGGCUAACUAUGUGCCAGCAGCCGCGGUAAUACAUAGGUGGCAAGCGUUAUCCGGAUUUAUUGGGCGUAAAGGGUGCGUAGACGGUUUUGCAAGUCUGAGGUUAAAUUUAGGAGCUCAACUCCUAAUCGCCUUGGAAACUACAAGACUAGAGUAUAGGAGAGGUUAGUGGAAUUCCAUGUGUAGCGGUGGAAUGUGUAGAUAUAUGGAGGANCACCAGUGGC